rnacentral:rRNA from 1 species
CAGCAGCCGCGGGAAUACGUAGGGCGCAAGCGUUAUCCGGAAUUAUUGGGCGUAAAGAGCUCGUAGGCGGUUUGUCGCGUCUGCCGUGAAAGUCCGGGGCUCAACCCCGGAUCUGCGGUGGGUACGGGCAGACUAGAGUGAUGUAGGGGAGACUGGAGUUCCUGGUGUAGCGGUGAAAUGCGCAGAUAUCAGGAGGAACACCGAUGGCGAAGGCAGGUCUCUGGGCAUUAACUGACGCUGAGGAGCGAAAGCAUGGGGAGCGAACAGGAUUAGAUACCCGCGUAGUCCCUGUCUCUUAUAC